rnacentral:tRNA from 1 species
GUUAAGGUGGCAGAGCCCGGUAACUGCAGAAGGUCUAAGCCCUUUGAACAGGGGUUCAAAUCCCCUCUUUAACU